rnacentral:rRNA from 1 species
AGAGUUUGAUCCUGGCUCAGGACGGACGCUGGCGGCGUGCCUAACACAUGCAAGUCGAGCGAUGAAGCCCUUCGGGGUGGAUUAGCGGCGGACGGGUGAGUAACACGUGGGUAACCUGCCUCAAGGUGGGGGAUAGCCUUCCGAAAGGGAGAUUAAUACCGCAUAACAUAUCUUAAUCGCAUGAUUGAGAUAUCAAACGAGUAAUCGGCUUUGAGAUGGACCCGCGGCGCAUUAGCUAGUUGGUGAGGUAACGGCUCACCAAGGCGACGAUGCGUAGCCGACCUGAGAGGGUGAUCGGCCACAUUGGAACUGAGACACGGUCCAGACUCCUACGGGAGGCAGCAGUGGGGAAUAUUGCGCAAUGGAGGAAACUCUGACGCAGCAACGCCGCGUGAAUGAUGAAGGCCUUAGGGUUGUAAAGUUCUGUCUUCUGGGACGAUAAUGACGGUACCAGAGGAGGAAGCCACGGCUAACUACGUGCCAGCAGCCGCGGUAAUACGUAGGUGGCAAGCGUUGUCCGGAUUUACUGGGCGUAAAGGAUGCGUAGGCGGAUACUUAAGUCAGAUGUGAAAUACCCGAGCUCAACUUGGGUGCUGCAUUUGAAACUGGGUGUCUAGAGUGCAGGAGAGGUAAGUGGAAUUCCUAGUGUAGCGGUGAAAUGCGUAGAGAUUAGGAAGAACACCAGUGGCGAAGGCGACUUACUGGACUGUAACUGACGCUGAGGCAUGAAAGCGUGGGGAGCAAACAGGAUUAGAUACCCUGGUAGUCC